rnacentral:rRNA from 1 species
AACGGGUGAGUAACACGUGGGUGAUCUGCCUUGCACUCUGGGAUAAGCUUGGGAAACUGGGUCUAAUACCGGAUAGGAACCGUCUUUAGUGUGGUGGUUGGAAAGUUUUUUCGGUGCAAGAUGAGCUCGCGGCCUAUCAGCUUGUUGGUGGGGUAAUGGCCUACCAAGGCGUCGACGGGUAGCCGGCCUGAGAGGGUGUACGGCCACAUUGGGACUGAGAUACGGCCCAG